CAGGUAUAGUUUAAUGGUAGAACUAAAGCUUCCCAAGCUUUUGGCGCGAGUUCGAUUCUCGUUACCUG
rnacentral:tRNA from 2 species